rnacentral:rRNA from 1 species
GAACGAGUUGGAAAGCUCAGCCGGAGACUGUGAUAGCCAGGUAUGCGAAAACGACGCUGACCUUAUUCUGUAUUCUCGAGUAGGUCGGGGCACGAGAAACCCUGAUUGAAUCCGGCUGGACCACCAGCCAAGGCUAAAUAUAGUAUAUGAUCGAUAGUGAACUAGUACGGUGACGGAAAGGUGAAAAGAACCCCGGGAGGGGAGUGAAAUAGAACCUGAAAUUUUGUGCCUACAAGGAGUCGGAGCCCAGCACCUUUGAAAUCGAGUGGUACAAUGUAGACAGAUGUUCUACGUGUACGUUUUGCAAAGUGAUCGGGAAUCAGAUCAAAUUUACUUCGGUCAGACCAGUGACUUAAGACGACGUCUCUCGGAGCAUAAUUCCGGUAAGGAUACUUAUACCAAGAUAUAUGCGCCAUGGAAGGUUGUCUACUAUGAAGCCUAUUCAUCACGUAAGCUAGCGAUGGCCCGUGAGAGGCAGUUGAAAGCUUAUGGACAAGCCAGGACUGCUCUGAAGAAGAGACUAAAUUUGAUCUGAUACUCGAUUUCAAAGGUGCUGGGUGACGGCGUGCUUUUUGUAGAACGAUCCAGCGAGUUAAUUUUUACGGCGAGGUUAAGUCAGAUGAUGAAGCCAUAGUGAAAGCGAGCAUUAACAGUGCGAUUUAGUCGUAAGGAUUAGACCCGAAACCAGGUGACCUAACCAUGAGCAGGUUGAAGCAACCUUAAUCGGUUGUGGAGGACCGAACCAGUGUAUAUUGCAAAAUGCUUGGAUGACUUGUGGUUAGCGGUGAAAUGCCAAUCGAACUUGGAGAUAGCUGGUUCUCCGCGAAAUAGUUAUAGGACUAGCGUCGUGUGAUAGCUUACGGGGGUAGAGCUCUGUCAAGAGAUAGGGGGAGCAAUCCUACCUACUCUUAAUAAACUACGAAUACCGUAUGUCUGUAUCACGGCAGUUAGAACGUCGGUGCUAAGAUCGGCGCUCAAAAGGGAAACAGCCCAGACCAUCAUCUAAGGUCCCCAAAUUUACGCUAAGUGGGAAACAAGGUGGAAUUUCUUAAACAGCUAGGAUGUUGGCUUAGAAGCAGCCAUUCAUUUAAAGAGUGCGUAACAGCUCACUAGUCAAGAGAUUCUGCGUGGAAGAUAUAACGGGGCUAAGCGUAAUACCGAAGAUAUGGAUUGCAAUUUAUUGCAGUGGUAGCGGAGCGUUCCUAUCGGCAGUGAAGCCGGACUGUUAAGUACCGGUGGAGCGUUAGGAAGUGAGAAUGCUGGAACGAGUAACCAUAAGACAGGUGAGAAUCCUGUCGGCCGAAAGAGCGAGGUUUCCUGGGCUAUGGUAAUCAUCCCAGGGUUAGUCGGGCCUAAGCCGAGGCGUUUAGCGUAGGCGAUGGACAUCAGGUUAAUAUUCCUGAACUAGUCAAACUUUGUAUGCAGUUAGCGAUGAGAUAGGUGGAGCGGAUUCAUGGUUUAUCCGUUCAAGUGAUAGAGGAAUCUUGAUCGAGUAAAAGUGAACCUACGGGUUUACGAUUCCGCUGAAGGCAUUGACCAGAAAAGCUGGCAUACGCAUGGGUUUGGCUACCCGUACCGCAAACCGACACAGGUGCUCGAGUCGAGGAGACUAAGGCUUACGAGAGAAUGAUUGCUAAGGAACUCGGCAAUACAGCGACCGUAACUUCGGAAUAAGGUCUGCCUACAUUUGUAGGCCGCAGCUAAAGAGCCCACGGAACUGUUUAUCAAAAACUCAGGUCUCUGCUAACACGAAAGUGGAUGUAUAGGGGCUGAAACCUGCCCGGUGCCGGAAGGUUAAGGGGAUUGCUUCACGGUGAGAACUGAAGCCCCGGUGAACGGCGGCGGUAACUAUAACCGUCCUAAGGUAGCGAAAUUCCUUGUCAGGU